CAGGACAUGCAUGAUUGCUGCUGAGAAAUGGUUCAGAAUCCUGUCAACUGGAAUCUGUUUCUUCCUGGAAGACUAGAACGUGCCAAGAACAUAACCGGGGAGGCUCAGUUUGCAGCCGACGCCGGCGAGCCGUGAGCUUUGGGUGAGAGGAGGGCUUCUGGUGACAGCUGAAUACUGAGGCCACUGAAAAGAUGGAGCCAAC
rnacentral:lncRNA from 1 species